rnacentral:lncRNA from 1 species
UUUCAACAUACUUUCAGCACACUUUUUCGUUUCUAAGCAUAUGCAAAAGCCAAAAAUACCCCUCUAUUAUUAUUUUUAUUUUUAUUUGAGAUUUAACUAAACUAUUAAAUUUUCGUUGGGCAAAUCAUGUGGUUUUGAAGCAAUUACUUUUAAUAUUAAAACCUUAUCUUUUUUUUCUGUGAUCCAACUACCACACCGUAAAUCUGCUUCGGGCUCAAGCUUCAAUUUUUUUCAUCGGUUUCUCCAAUUUGUCAAAGUUUCCACUUGCUUAGUUUGGUGUCUCUCUUAUCUAUGUUUCGACGCACUGCCAUCCCUCCCGACGUCGUAUAAUCUGCUCCUUUGCGUAUCUUAGUUGUUGUCAACCUUCGCACCACGACCUCAAUCCAUGACGGCUCCUAGGCAGUAUAAUAUGUCUGAAAAUUUUACUCCUCGUUGCGGUUGUGCUCAAUCCACGAGGAUCAACAGAUGGAUCGAUCUUGUUCAGCUACUUUGGACGGAUCGAUCUGGUUCACAAAGAACGACCAAUCCAUUAUAUCCAAUUUUAUAAUUUUGCACCCCUCGUCUUUUAGCUUCUUCUAUUGUUUGUCACAAACUUUCAAAAUUGUCUGUAUAACCUCUUUAAUUGACCACAUAUUCUCAGUUAUACCUCCAACCAAUAAUAUGCAAAUUUCUAUGCAAAUACAACAUAAACAUCUAAAAUGCAUCCAACAAUGAUUUAUAUGAGCUAAAAUAAGAUAUUAUAAAUCAUUAAAAAUAUAAUAUAUGAAAGAGCUAUAAACAUAUCAGCUAAAAAGAGAGAGACGAGGUGUGAUUAUUUAAUCAUGGACUCAUAAAUAUUGAGAAACUUGUCCAUAUGUACAAUUAUCCACAUGUACACUUGUCCAACUAUCCACAUAUACGCUUGUCAACAUGUAUACAAUACACCAGUAUCUUUUGCAUUGUUCAUUUGAUUUGUAUUCUUUUACUUAUUAUCAAGUGCUGGUUUUAAAAUUCCUUUGUAGUACUUACAUAUUUGAUAACAUAUGGAUAUCUACACAAAUAAAUAUGAAGCUUAAUCAAAGAUUGGAGGGCUUCUUUGUGUACACGUGUACACCUUUUAUAUGAUAUCCACAUGUACACAUUAACGUGUACAUAAAUGUUUAGUUGUUAAACAUUUCAUUUGUAUUCUUUUAGCUAUUAUCAAGUGUUGGUUUCAGAAUCACUUUGUAAUACUACCAUAUUUGCUGACAUAUGGAUAUCUAGACAAAUAAAUAUGGAUGCUUAAUCCAAGAUUAGAGGGAUUCUUUGUGUACACGUAUAUACUUUAUAUAUCCGCAUGUACGUAUUAACGUGUACAACUUUUCCAUGAUAUCCACGUAAUCAAACCUCUAUUGAUUAGAGAACUUUCGCAACACCUCGUCAAAGUGCCGUUGUCAUUUUUCGUUCCAGUUCCUUCAGAUUUACAUUCUCUUGAUUAAGGUGCAGCUGAGACGGAGAUUGAGACGGAAAUUGAGCCAGAGCAAAGCUACAUUGGUUAAUUCGCCAAACUCUCUUUGCCUUCAUCUUUCUAUGAGUCUAAUUCGACUCGGAUCUUCUUCUCUCACCAGCUCCUAUGGAAGAUGGAGGUGGAGAUGAAGAAAAAAUAGAUUGGACCCAUGGUUUACGAAUAGAGACACAAUUUUGAUUCAGAAAAAUCCACCAUUCGAACAUAAGAAAUGUGUAAGAACGCUUGAAAUUUUUUGUUCAUGUGUUUCAGAUUUUAAUAAUUUUAUCGAAAACGCACAUCAUCGACAGAAAACAGAGAUGUGGUUGGUAAAAGAAGAACAUGAUGAAAGAGAUGAAGAAGAAAAAGUAAUUUUAAUUUUAAAAAUGUGUGGCUGUAAAUAAAAGACUUAAGAAUUAUGCAUUUUUUAUUCUAGAAACCAGUCAACUGGUUCAAAUCGCUUUAAGAUAAAAAAAGGUGAGUGUAAUUGUUUAGUUAAGGCCAAUUCAGUCAUUUUAUUAUCACAAAUUACCUCAGUAGCACAAAGUGCCUUAGAAUGUAAUAAAAAAGAGAAAACUGCUCUAGAGUGUAAAUGACUCUAACUUUUAUAAUGGGACUGUGACUGACCGUAAGGAGAAAAGCAAUAAAACAAUAAUAGGAAAGGUAAAAGUAAAAGUUUUCCAAAUAUGAUCAACAGAAGGGAAACAAAUAACGGAGAGUCCAGGUUCUAUUCCAAUGCAUAAUUGAUUUACGUUUGGUAGGUUUUUAUAUGAAAAAGCGUUUGUAAAAGCAAAAACAUGGAUUGACCAUUUCGGUGGGUGGUUACAAAUACAAGUAAAUGCAUAAUUAAGGAAUGUUUCACCUUUAUUGCAAUUUCUAUCAACUAAGAAAACUCGAAAAUGUUCCUAGACCGAACCUGAAAUUAGCUUAUACUAGUUUUAUUUUAGAUCGACGUUCCCUUGUUUUGUUAACCACAAAAUUAACAUAUCAAAUUCAAGACACUAGAUUUUGGAACUUUCUCUUAUUUCUUUUUUCAGUGAACUUUAUACUGCUUAGUUUAAACUUUACAUAUAUACAUGAGACACUAUAUACACUAGAAGAGGUUUCGGAAAACAUGUAAUUAUUCAGUAUGUUAAUACCACUCGCUUAUGUUAAAUCAAUAUCUGUGGGAUAUAAAAUAAAACCCUCCUCUUUAGAAUGCCUUCACAAAAAAAAAAACUCCUCUUUAGAUAUUAAUUUUUGAAGCAAAAAAGUUGAAAGCGCUUACUUUAUUUUUCUGAGUGUUCUCGCUAGCUUGCUGUCAAACGAUUCAUCGUUCAUGAGAUCUUGAUUUCCAAAUAAGACAGAUUUGACUUUUGUUGGUUUGUAAUAUUCACUCUUACAUCAUCGGAAACACAAGCAAGUCUCUUCAUGUGCUCAUUUCCUUCUCCAUUAAUCUCUUUUCGGGGUUCUCAAUAUCACACACUCUCUUUCUAUUUCCUUCACAUCCAUCUCUGUAUUUUAACAUCUUCAAAAAACUUGUAUAGAAUGUUUAUUUCGAACCAACAUGUAUUUUUAUUAUUAUGUCAAAGAUUAUAUAAAGAAGGUUAGACCGUUUAUUCUAUUUUUUACUAUAAAAUAGAUUAAUUCUAUAAUAGAGUUUAGUUUGCUCUAAUUGUACUAUAUUUUAAAGUAAAAAAU